GGCGGCAUAGCCAAGUGGUAAGGCAGAGGUCUGCAAAACCUCCAUUCCCCAGUUCGAAUCUGGGUGCCGCCUCCA
rnacentral:tRNA from 1 species